CCUACGGGUGGCAGCAGUAGGGAAUCUUUCACAAUGGGCGAAAGCCUGAUGGAGCAACGCCGCGUGCAGGAUGAAGGCCUUCGGGUUGUAAACUGCUUUUAUAAGCGAGAAAUAUGACGGUAACCUAUGCAUAACGAUCGUCCAACAACGUGCCAGCAGCCGCGGUCAUACGUAGGAUCCGAGCAUUAUCCGGAGUGACUGGGUGUAAAGAGUUGCGUAGGUGGCAUAAUAAGUAGCUAGUGAAAUCUGGUGGCUCAACCAUUCAGACUAUUAGCUAAACUGUUAAGCUCGAGACCGUUAGGGGUAACUGGAAUUUCUAGUGUAGGAGUGAAAUCCGUAGAUAUUAGAAGGAACACCAAUAGCGUAGGCAGGUUGCUGGGACGGUUCUGACGCUAAGGCACGAAAGCGUAGGGAGCAAACGGGAUUAGAUACCCUUGUAGUC
rnacentral:rRNA from 1 species